rnacentral:misc_RNA from 1 species
UCUCCGUUGGUGAACCAGCGGAGGGAUCAUUACCGAGUUAUCAACUCCCAAACCCCUGUGAACAUACCACAACGUUGCCUCGGCGGGACCGCCCCGGCGCCCCUAGCGGCCCGGAGCCAGGCGCCCGCCGGAGGACCCAAACUCUUGCUUUGAACAGUGGCAUACUCUCUGAGUCUCAAAAAUAAAAAUAAAUUAAAACUUUCAACAACGGAUCUCUUGGCUCUG